GUCUGGUCAUGAGUUGGAGGGUUCAUCUCCUUCCAUUGGGUCUUAUAUACGUUUUCUUCUACACAGUCUGUUAUACAUCAAUGGGUUCUGAUUGGAGUGGAUGAUUAUAGACCCUGUGGGGGGGGAUUCAAAAUGUUACCCUACCAGGUCUGGACUACUGCUGUUGUUCUCCUCUACCUGGUCAUUACUGGUACCCGCCUGGUGUCCCAGGUCUAAAUCAGGCCCUGAUUAGAGGGGGAACAAUGACUGGUGUCCCAGGUCUAAAUCAGGCCCUGAUUAGAGGGGGAACAAUGACUGGUGUCUCAGGUCUAAAUCAGGCCCUGAUUAGAGGGGGAACAAUGACUGGUGUCUCAGGUCUAAAUCAGGCCCUGAUUAGAGGGGGAACAAUGACUGGUGUCUCAGGUCUAAAUCAGUCCCUGAUUAGAGGGGAACAAUGACUGGUGUCUCAGGUCUAAAUCAGGCCCUGAUUAGAGGGGGAACAAUGACUGGUGUCCCAGGUCUAAAUCAGCCCCUGGUGUCCCAGGUCUAAAUCAGGCCCUGAUUCGAGGGGGAACAAUGACUGGUGUCUCAGGUCUAAAUCAGCCCCUGGUGUCCCAGGUCUAAAUCAGGCCCUGAUUCGAGGGGGAACAAUGACUGGUGUCCCAGGUCUAAAUCAGCCCCUGGUGUCCCAGGUCUAAAUCAGGCCCUGAUUAGAGGGG